rnacentral:rRNA from 1 species
UGCGUAGGCGGUUAGGUAAGUCAGAUGUGAAAUUCCAGGGCUCAACCUUGGAACUGCAUUUGAUACUGCUUGACUAGAGUACUGGAGGGGAGACUGGAAUUCACGGUGUAGCAGUGAAAUGCGUAGAUAUCGUGAGGAAGGCCAGCGGCGAAGGCGAGUCUCUGGACAGUUACUGACGCUGAGGCACGAAGGCUAGGGGAGCAAACG